CAGUCGCCGCGGUAAUACAGAGGGUGCGAGCGUUAAUCAGAUUUACUGGGCGUAAAGCGUGCGUAGGCGGCUUUUUAAGUCGGAUGUGAAAUCCCUGAGCUUAACUUAGGAAUUGCAUUCGAUACUGGGAAGCUAGAGUAUGGGAGAGGAUGGUAGAAUUCCAGGUGUAGCGGUGAAAUGCGUAGAGAUCUGGAGGAAUACCGAUGGCGAAGGCAGCCAUCUGGCCUAAUACUGACGCUGAGGUACGAAAGCAUGGGGAGCAAACAGGAUUAGAUACCCCGGUAGUCCCUGUCUCUUAUAC
rnacentral:rRNA from 1 species